AUUCCGGAACGGAGGGCUCUGGGUCCACCUCCCACCCAUGUUUAUUGUACCUUGUUGCUUCGGCGGGCCCGCCUCACGGCCGCCGGGGGGCUUCUGCCCUCUGGCCCGCGCCCGCCGAAGACACCAUUGAACACUGUCUGAAGAUUGCAGUCUGAGCAAUUAGCUAAAUAAGUUAAAACUUUCAACAACGGAUCUCUUGGUUCCGGCAUCGAUGAAGAACGCAGCGAAAUGCGAUACGUAAUGUGAAUUGCAGAAUUCAGUGAAUCAUCGAGUCUUUGAACGCACAUUGCGCCCCUUGGUAUUCCGGGGGGCAUGCCUGUCCGAGCGUCAUUGCUGCCCUCAAGCACGGCUUGUGUGUUGGGCCCCGUCCUCCUUCCCGGGGGACGGGCCCGAAAGGCAGCGGCGGCACCGCGUCCGGUCCUCGAGCGUAUGGGGCUUUGUCACCCGCUCUUGUAGGCCCGGCCGGCGCUUGCCGACAACCAUCAAUCUUUUUUCAGGUUGACCUCGGAUCAGGUAGGGAUACCCGCUGAACUUAAGCAUAUCAAAAGGCGGGAGAGAA
rnacentral:rRNA from 1 species